rnacentral:rRNA from 1 species
GUAAGAUGAAACUUAAAUUUUUGACGGUAUUUAAUUUUCUAAAGGAAUAUGUAAUUUAAUCGAAAAUACACGAAAAUCUUACUUAUUUUUUAUAUGUAUAUCUCCGCUGACAGAUUUUUAUAAAAAUUAUCUAUAAUUUUCUUAAAAUUUAAUAUUUUACAUCAGGUCAAGGUGCAAUAUAAAUAAGUUAUUAUGUAUUACAAUCAAAAUUUUUUUGAAACUAGAUAGAUAGUUGAAAUACUAUUUUGAAAAUGAAUUUAUAAGUAAAUUAAAAAAUAUUUUUUAUUUGAAAUAUUAUUAAAUAUGU